UACAGAGGGUGCUAGCGUUGUUCGGAAUCAUUGGGCGUAAAGGGCGUGUAGGCGGUUUGUUAAGUCAUGUGUGAAAUCCCUCGGCUCAACCGGGGAACUGCGUCCGAUACUGGAUGGCUUGAAUCCGGGAGAGGGAUGCGGAAUUCCAGGUGUAGCGGUGAAAUGCGUAGAUAUCUGGAGGAACACCGGUGGCGAAGGCGGCAUCCUGGACCGGCAUUGACGCUGAGGAGCGAAAGCCAGGGGAGCAAACGGG
rnacentral:rRNA from 1 species